CACUUCGAAAGGCAAGACAUCCGAAAGGGUGAUCGCGCAAAGCUUCAGAUCUAACGGAAACUCUGUUUCCCAUGAUAGCUGGGCUGCCAUU
rnacentral:ncRNA from 1 species